rnacentral:rRNA from 1 species
UACAGAGGGUGCGAGCGUUGUUCGGAAUUAUUGGGCGUAAAGGGCGCGUAGGCGGUGCGGUAAGUCACCUGUGAAAUCUCCUGGCUCAACUGGGAGCUUGCAGGCGAAACUGCCGUGCUGGAGUGUGGGAGAGGUGCGUGGAAUUCCUGGUGUAGCGGUGAAAUGCGCAGAUAUCAGGAGGAACACCGGUGGCGAAGGCGGGUCUCUGGGCCGAUACUGACGCUGGAGGAGCGAAAGCGUGGGGAGCGAACAGG